AACGAACGCUGGCGGCAUGCCUAACACAUGCAAGUCGAACGAGACCUUCGGGUCUAGUGGCGCACGGGUGCGUAACGCGUGGGAAUCUGCCCUUGGGUUCGGAAUAACAGUUAGAAAUGACUGCUAAUACCGGGUAAUGUCUUCGGACCAAAGAUUUAUCGCCCAGGGAUGAGCCCGCGUAGGAUUAGCUAGUUGGUGGGGUAAAAGCUCACCAAGGCGACGAUCCUUAGCUGGUCUGAGAGGAUGAUCAGCCACACUGGGACUGAGACACGGCCCAGACUCCUACGGGAGGCAGCAGUGGGGAAUAUUGGACAAUGGGCGAAAGCCUGAUCCAGCAAUGCCGCGUGAGUGAUGAAGGCCUUAGGGUGUAAAGCUCUUUUACCAGGGAUGAUAAUGACAGUACCUGGAGAAUAAGCUCCGGCUAACUCCGUGCCAGCAGCCGCGGUAAU
rnacentral:rRNA from 1 species